AGAUUGAACGCUGGCGGCAGGCCUAACACAUGCAAGUCGAGCGGCAGCACGGGUACUUGUACCUGGUGGCGAGCGGCGGACGGGUGAGUAAUGCCUAGGAAUCUGCCUGAUAGUGGGGGAUAACGCUCGGAAACGGACGCUAAUACCGCAUACGUCCUACGGGAGAAAGCAGGGGACCUUCGGGCCUUGCGCUAUCAGAUGAGCCUAGGUCGGAUUAGCUAGUUGGUGGGGUAAUGGCUCACCAAGGCGACGAUCCGUAACUGGUCUGAGAGGAUGAUCAGUCACACUGGAACUGAGACACGGUCCAGACUCCUACGGGAGGCAGCAGUGGGGAAUAUUGGACAAUGGGCGAAAGCCUGAUCCAGCCAUGCCGCGUGUGUGAAGAAGGUCUUCGGAUUGAAAGCACUUUAAGUUGGAGAAGGCAGUUACCUAAUACGUAUCUGUUUUGACGUUACGACAGAAUAAGCACCGGCUAACUCUGUG
rnacentral:rRNA from 1 species